UGGGGAAUCUUGCGCAAUGGGCGAAAGCCUGACGCAGCCAUGCCGCGUGGAUGAUGAAGGUCUUAGGAUUGUAAAAUCCUUUCACCGGUGAAGAUAAUGACUGUAGCCGGAGAAGAAGCCCCGGCUAACUUCGUGCCAGCAGCCGCGGUAAUACGAAGGGGGCUAGCGUUGCUCGGAAUUACUGGGCGUAAAGGGAGCGUAGGCGGACAUUUAAGUCAGGGGUGAAAUCCCAGAGCUCAACUCUGGAACUGCCUUUGAUACUGGGUGUCUUGAGUGUGAUAGAGGUAUGUGGAACUCCGAGUGUAGAGGUGAAAUUCGUAGAUAUUCGGAAGAACACCAGUGGCGAAGGCGACAUACUGGAUCAUUACUGACGCUGAGGCUCGAAAGCGUGGGGAGCAAACAGGAUUAGAUACCCCAGUAGUCCCUGAGCGGGCUGGCAAGGCGCAU
rnacentral:rRNA from 1 species